AACGAACGCUGGCGGCAGGCCUAACACAUGCAAGUCGAACGAUGCUUUCGGGCGUAGUGGCGCACGGGGGCGGAAAGCGUGGGAAUCGGCACGUGGGUUCGGAAUAACAGUGAGAAAUGGCUGCUAAUACCGGAUGAUGUCCUCGGACACAAGAUUUAUCGCACUGGGAUGAGCCCGCGUAGGUUUAGCUAGUUGGGGGGGUAAUGGCCUCCCAAGGCGUCGAUACUUAGCUGGUCUGAGAGGAUGAUCCGCCACACUGGGACUGGGCCACGGCCCAGACUCCUACGCGAUGCAGCAGUGGGUAAUAUUGGACUAUGGGCGCAGUCCUGAUCCAGCUCUGCUGCGUGAGUGAUGAUGUCCUUAGGGUAGUAAAGCUCUUUUACCCGGGGUGAUUCUGACGGUACCGGAAGAAUAAGCACCGGCUAACUCCGUG
rnacentral:rRNA from 1 species